GACGAACGCUGGCGGCGCGCCUAACACAUGCAAGUCGAACGAGCGAGAGAGAGCUUGCUUUCUCGAGCGAGUGGCGAACGGGUGAGUAACGCGUGAGGAACCUGCCUCAAAGAGGGGGACAACAGUUGGAAACGACUGCUAAUACCGCAUAAGCCCACGGCUCGGCAUCGAGCAGAGGGAAAAGGAGCAAUCCGCUUUGAGAUGGCCUCGCGUCCGAUUAGCUAGUUGGUGAGGUAACGGCCCACCAAGGCGACGAUCGGUAGCCGGACUGAGAGGUUGAACGGCCACAUUGGGACUGAGACACGGCCCAGACUCCUACGGGAGGCGGCAGUGGGGAAUAUUGCACAAUGGGGGAAACCCUGAUGCAGCGACGCCGCGUGGAGGAAGAAGGUCUUCGGAUUGUAAACUCCUGUUGUUGGGGAAGAUAAUGACGGUACCCAACAAGGAAGUGACGGCUAACUACGUGCCAGCAGCCGCGGUAAAACGUAGGUCACAAGCGUUGUCCGGAAUUACUGGGUGUAAAGGGAGCGCAGGCGGGAAGACAAGUUGGAAGUGAAAUCUAUGGGCUCAACCCAUAAACUGCUUUCAAAACUGUUUUUCUUGAGUAGUGCAGAGGUAGGCGGAAUUCCCGGUGUAGCGGUGGAAUGCGUAGAUAUCGGGAGGAACACCAGUGGCGAAGGCGGCCUACUGGGCACCAACUGACGCUGAGGCUCGAAAGUGUGGGUAGCAAACAGGAUUAGAUACCCUGGUAGUCCACACCGUAAACGAUGAUUACUAGGUGUUGGAGGAUUGACCCCUUCAGUGCCGCAGUUAACACAAUAAGUAAUCCACCUGGGGAGUACGACCGCAAGGUUGAAACUCAAAGGAAUUGACGGGGGCCCGCACAAGCAGUGGAGUAUGUGGUUUAAUUCGACGCAACGCGAAGAACCUUACCAAGUCUUGACAUCCUGCGACGGUGCUGGAAACAGUACUUUCCUUCGGGACGCAGAGACAGGUGGUGCAUGGUUGUCGUCAGCUCGUGUCGUGAGAUGUUGGGUUAAGUCCCGCAACGAGCGCAACCCUUAUGGUCAGUUACUACGCAAGAGGACUCUGGCCAGACUGCCGUUGACAAAACGGAGGAAGGUGGGGAUGACGUCAAAUCAUCAUGCCCUUUAUGACUUGGGCUACACACGUACUACAAUGGCGUUAAACAAAGAGAAGCAAGACCGCGAGGUGGAGCAAAACUCAGAAACAACGUCCCAGUUCGGACUGCAGGCUGCAACUCGCCUGCACGAAGUCGGAAUUGCUAGUAAUCGUGGAUCAGCAUGCCACGGUGAAUACGUUCCCGGGCCU
rnacentral:rRNA from 1 species